rnacentral:rRNA from 1 species
UACGUAGGGUCCGAGCGUUAAUCGGAAUUACUGGGCGUAAAGCGUGCGCAGGCGGUUUUGUAAGCCAGAUGUGAAAUCCCCGAGCUUAACUUGGGAACUGCAUUUGAAACUGGCAAGCUAGAGUCUUGUAGAGGGGGGUAGAAUUCCAGGUGUAGCGGUGAAAUGCGUAGAGAUCUGGAGGAAUACCGGUGGCGAAGGCGGCCCCCUGGACAAAGACUGACGCUCAGGUGCGAAAGCGUGGGGAGCAAACAGG